CCUACGGGUGGCAGCAGUGGGGAAUAUUGCACAAUGGGCGCAAGCCUGAUGCAGCCAUGCCGCGUGUGAAGAAGGCCUUCGGGUUGUAAAGCACUUUCAGCGGGGCGGAAGGCGGUGAGGUUAAUAACCUCAUCGAUUGACGUUACCCGCAGAAGAAGCACCGGCUAACUCCGUGCCAGCAGCCGCGGUAAUACGGAGGGUGCAAGCGUUAAUCGGAAUUACUGGGCGUAAAGCGCACGCAGGCGGUCUGUCAAGUCGGAUGUGAAAUCCCCGGGCUCAACCUGGGAACUGCAUUCGAAACCGGCAGGCUAGAGUCUUGUAGAGGGGGGUAGAAUUCCAGGUGUAGCGGUGAAAUGCGUAGAGAUCUGGAGGAAUACCGGUGGCGAAGGCGGCCCCCUGGACAAAGACUGACGCUCAGGUGCGAAAGCGUGGGGAGCAAACAGGAUUAGAUACCCGGGUAGUC
rnacentral:rRNA from 1 species